rnacentral:misc_RNA from 1 species
GAUGAAGAACGUAGCAAAAUGCGAUAAGUAAUGUGAAUUGCAGAAUUCAGUGAAUCAUCGAAUCUUUGAACGCACAUUGCGCCCGCCAGUAUUCUGGCGGGCAUGCCUGUUCGAGCGUCAUUUCAACCCUCAAGCUCAGCUUGGUGUUGGGACUCGCGGUAACCCGCGUUCCCCAAAUCGAUUGGCGGUCACGUCGAGCUUCCAUAGCGUAGUAAUCAUACACCUCGUUACUGGUAAUCGUCGCGGCCACGCCGUAAAACCCCAACUUCUGAAUGUUGACCUCGGAUCAGGUAGGAAUACCCGCUGAACUUAGGCAUAUCAAUAAGCGGAGGA